UACGGGGGGAGCAAGCGUUGUUCGGAUUUACUGGGCGUAAAGGGCUCGUAGGCGGCCAACUAAGUCAGACGUGAAAUCCCUCAGCUUAACUGGGGAACUGCGUCUGAUACUGGAUGGCUUGGAUUUGGGAGAGGGAUGCGGAAUUCCAGGUGUAGCGGUGAAAUGCGUAGAUAUCUGGAGGAACACCGGUGGCGAAGGCGGCAUCCUGGACCGACACUGACGCUGAGGAGCGAAAGCCAGGGGAGCAAACGGG
rnacentral:rRNA from 1 species